CCUACGGGUGGCAGCAGUGAGGAAUAUUUGUCAAUGGACGAGAGUCUGAACCAGCCAAGUCGCGUGAAGGAUGACUGCCCUAUGGAUUGUAAACUUCUUUUAUAUGGGAAUAAAAUGUUCCACGUGUAGGAUAUUGUAUGUACCAUAUGAAUAAGGAUCGGCUAACUCCGUGCCUACAGCCGCGGUAAUACGGAGGCUCCGAGCGUUAUCCGGAUUUAUUGGGUUUAAAGGGAGCGUAGGUGGAUUGUUAAGUCAGUUGUGAACGUUGGCGGCUCAACCGUAAGAUUGCAGUUGAAACUGGCAGUCUUGAGUACAGUAGAGGUGGGCGGAAUUCGUGGUGUAGCAGUGAAAUGCGUAGAUAUCACGAAGAACUCUGAUUGCGAAGGCAGCUUCCUGGACUGUAACUGACACUGAGGCUCGAAAGUGUGGGUAUCAAACAGGAUUAGAUACCCUUGUAGUC
rnacentral:rRNA from 1 species